UACGUAGGGACCGAGCGUUGUCCGGAUUCAUUGGGCGUAAAGAGCUCGUAGGCGGCCAACUAAGUCGGAUGUGAAAUCCCUAGGCUUAACCUGGGAACUGCAUCCGAUACUGGAUGGCUUGAAUCCGGGAGAGGGAUGCAGAAUUCCAGGUGUAGCGGUGAAAUGCGUAGAUAUCUGGAGGAAUACCGGUGGCGAAGGCGGCAUCCUGGACCGGCAUUGACGCUGAUGAGCGAAAGCUAGGGGAGCAAACGGG
rnacentral:rRNA from 1 species